rnacentral:misc_RNA from 1 species
AAGUCGUAACAAGGUUUCCGUAGGUGAACCUGCGGAAGGAUCAUUAACAUAACUUUUUGUUAAUCAACCGUGUUCUGUUUUUGUAAUUCUGGCAACUCUAGUCGCAAGACUGGUUGUCAGUGUUUUUAACAUACAACUAUUAACUGAAACUACACUCGUAGAGUGAUUAAUUGAUACAACUGUUAACAACGGAUCACUCGGUUCUCA